rnacentral:rRNA from 1 species
UACGUAGGGUGCGAGCGUUGUCCGGAUUCAUUGGGCGUAAAGGGUGCGUAGGCGGCGCGGUAAGUCGGGUGUGAAAUCUCGGAGCUUAACUCCGAAACUGCAUUCGAUACUGCCGUGCUUGAGGACUGGAGAGGAGACUGGAAUUUACGGUGUAGCGGUGAAAUGCGUAGAUAUCAUAAGGAAGACCAGUGGCGAAGGCGGAUCUCUGGACAGUUACUGACACUGAGGCACGAAGGCCAGGGGAGCAAACGGG